GCAAGUCGAACGCUUCUUUUUCACCGGAGCUUGCUCCACCGUGAAAAAGAGGAGUGGCGAACGGGUGAGUAACACGUGGGUAACCUGCCCAUCAGAAGGGGAUAACACUUGGAAACAGGUGCUAAUACCGUAUAACAAUCAAAACCGCAUGGUUUUGAUUUGAAAGGCGCUUUCGGGUGUCGCUGAUGGAUGGACCCGCGGUGCAUUAGCUAGUUGGUGAGGUAACGGCUCACCAAGGCCACGAUGCAUAGCCGACCUGAGAGGGUGAUCGGCCACAUUGGGACUGAGACACGGCCCAAACUCCUACGGGAGGCAGCAGUAGGGAAUCUUCGGCAAUGGACGAAAGUCUGACCGAGCAACGCCGCGUGAGUGAAGAAGGUUUUCGGAUCGUAAAACUCUGUUGUUAGAGAAGAACAAGGAUGAGAGUAACUGUUCAUCCCUUGACGGUAUCUAACCAGAAAGCCACGGCUAACUACGUGCCAGCAGCCGCGGUAAUACGUAGGUGGCAAGCGUUGUCCGGAUUUAUUGGGCGUAAAGCGAGCGCAGGCGGUUUCUUAAGUCUGAUGUGAAAGCCCCCGGCUCAACCGGGGAGGGUCAUUGGAAACUGGGAGACUUGAGUGCAGAAGAGGAGAGUGGAAUUCCAUGUGUAGCGGUGAAAUGCGUAGAUAUAUGGAGGAACACCAGUGGCGAAGGCGGCUCUCUGGUCUGUAACUGACGCUGAGGCUCGAAAGCGUGGGGAGCAAACAGGAUUAGAUACCCUGGUAGUCCACGCCGUAGACGAUGAGUGCUAAGUGUUGGAGGGUUUCCGCCCUUCAGUGCUGCAGCUAACGCAUUAAGCACUCCGCCUGGGGAGUACGACCGCAAGGUUGAAACUCAAAGGAAUUGACGGGGGCCCGCACAAGCGGUGGAGCAUGUGGUUUAAUUCGAAGCAACGCGAAAAACCUUACCAGGUCUUGACAUCCUUUGACCACUCUAGAGAUAGAGCUUCCCCUUCGGGGGCAAAGUGACAGGUGGUGCAUGGUUGUCGUCACCUCGUGUCGUGAGAUGUUGGGUUAAGUCCCGCAACCAGCGCAACCCUUAUUGUUAGUUGCCAUCAUUCAGUUGGGCACUCUAGCAAGACUGCCGGUGACAAACCGGAGGAAGGGGGG
rnacentral:rRNA from 1 species